AGUAGGUGGUCAUGGACCUGUGCCCCGAAUCCUGUAAGGCAAGUAGAUGUGGAGUUGACAGGUCUCAGGACAGGAUCUUUCAGCACCAGACACAGGAGCUUCCAGCCUGCAGAGCACACGUCAUAUCUUCCUCAUGGAGCCCUUCUAGGGCAGACAGCACCUGUGAACCAGAAGCGGUGGGAUUGGCAGCCUGUCUUUCUAGAGCUCACUGAUAUACCACUGUGGCUGGCAGCCAGGCCUGGUUCGGCUAAAUCACAAGUCUGGCUGGAGUUCCCAACAUCUGUGUAUGCUCACUCCCACUUGGGAAGCAGCCUCCUUGGGCUCCUGAGAGUGAAGGCUGAAAGGUCAGCAACAUCUAAGAAACUUGAAAAUGCAGUCUCACCUGAGUUGUGCUGGCCUGGGUGGCAGACUUCUAGUGAAGAAUGUGAGAAAAGGUAAGUGGAUUGGAGAUUUUGAAUCAUGAGUGUUUCAGCUAGAGGCUUUUCUUUUCCUCUGCUCUCUCAGAAAUGCUCUUGACAAUUAAAAAUGUUGUUUUAAAAUGCUGUUGAAAGAUGGAGUGACUGUUGUUUACAGAGAUCCUUACAAAAUACAUCUGUGUCUUUCCUUCUGAAAGAAAAGGCAGGUUGAACAUGUAAUUUAGCACUGACAGUGUUUACAAACAAAAAUUUUAAAAUAAAAUGUGCCCUUUGCUUUGGUGUGUGUGUGUGUGUGUGUGUGUGUGUGUGUGUGUGCAUAUGUGUGCAUAUGUGUGCAUAUGUGUAUAAGCUUGCACAUGCAUGUCUGGGAGGCUGAGAGUUCUCCAUUCCCACUGCCAACUGCCAAUAAGCCAAUGUAGAACAGAAGCCGGGAUGAAGAGGCAAAUCCCCCGCACAGAUGCUUGAACAGGUCUCCUGUGCCCUACUCACAGACAGAUAGCAUCAUCUGGAAACUCAUGGAUCAAAAAAAUAGACAGGUGGUCUGGCCCUGGUGGUAAUGCUUGGGGUGUAUGAAGAACUUUGGAGGCAAACCUAUCCUGCUUUCUUUAUUGUAUCUCUUACAUUUCUAAGUAAAUGAAGACCCAUCUUAAAAACCUCAUUUGAUUUAAGGAAAAGGAUUAAAGCUACAGUGGAUGGAAAGAAUCCCAGCACUGCCACCUCCACCUGUCUGGUCUGAAGAAGCCAUUCCUGCUGGCUUUGCUGUUGUUCUUCACGUCAUUGUUUCAUGUGAAGCGGGUGCCUCCGCAUGAGCGGAGUGACUAACCACUGAGUUAUUUUCCUUGUAGUGACUUUAGUGUUUUAUGAGUCUCUCCACCUUAUGUCUCAUGAAUUAACCUCACCCCACCAUCUGAAAUAGCACAGUUUGAUC
rnacentral:lncRNA from 1 species